rnacentral:rRNA from 1 species
GUCGAGCGGCAGCGGGAAGUAGCUUGCUACUUUGCCGGCGAGCGGCGGACGGGUGAGUAAUGUCUGGGAAACUGCCUGAUGGAGGGGGAUAACUACUGGAAACGGUAGCUAAUACCGCAUGACCUCGCAAGAGCAAAGUGGGGGACCUUCGGGCCUCACGCCAUCGGAUGUGCCCAGAUGGGAUUAGCUAGUAGGUGAGGUAAUGGCUCACCUAGGCGACGAUCCCUAGCUGGUCUGAGAGGAUGACCAGCCACACUGGAACUGAGACACGGUCCAGACUCCUACGGGAGGCAGCAGUGGGGAAUAUUGCACAAUGGGCGCAAGCCUGAUGCAGCCAUGCCGCGUGUGUGAAGAAGGCCUUAGGGUUGUAAAGCACUUUCAGCGAGGAGGAAGGGUUCAGUGUUAAUAGCACUGAGCAUUGACGUUACUCGCAGAAGAAGCACCGGCUAACUCCGUGCCAGCAGCCGCGGUAAUACGGAGGGUGCAAGCGUUAAUCGGAAUUACUGGGCGUAAAGCGCACGCAGGCGGUUUGUUAAGUCAGAUGUGAAAUCCCCGAGCU